UCGGAUGUGGUGCAUGGUGUAUAGCAGCCUCUAUUAUUCGUGUGGGAAUGAUGUAUAAGCUGAAGGUCAGGGUUCGACACCCUGUGUCCGAA